AACCCCACUUGGAGCAAGCUCAAAUAGGCUACCAUUGGUGCGGCUCGCACAAGGUAGCGGGUAUAGUGCUAAAGCGUUUUGGCAACAAUGCGCGUAGAUGAAUGACUAUCUAUUACAGAACCCGGCUUAUAGACCGACUUCACUU
rnacentral:RNase_P_RNA from 1 species